UAGGGAAUCUUCCACAAUGGACGAAAGUCUGAUGGAGCAACGCCGCGUGAGUGAUGAAGGGUUUCGGCUCGUAAAACUCUGUUGUUGGAGAAGAACGGGUGUCAGAGUAACUGUUGACAUCGUGACGGUAUCCAACCAGAAAGCCACGGCUAACUACGUGCCAGCAGCCGCGGUAAUACGUAGGUGGCAAGCGUUGUCCGGAUUUAUUGGGCGUAAAGCGAGCGCAGGCGGUUUUUUAGGUCUGAUGUGAAAGCCUUCGGCUUAACCGGAGAAGUGCAUCGGAAACCGGGAGACUUGAGUGCAGAAGAGGACAGUGGAACUCCAUGUGUAGCGGUGAAAUGCGUAGAUAUAUGGAAGAACACCAGUGGCGAAGGCGGCUGUCUGGUCUGCAACUGACGCUGAGGCUCGAAAGCAUGGGUAGCGAACAGGAUUAGAUACCCUGGUAGUCCAUGCCGUAAAACGAUGAGUGCUAAGUGUUGGAGGGUUUCCGCCCUUCAGUGCUGCAGCUAACGCAUUAAGCACUCCGCCUGGGGAGUACGACCGCAAGGUUGAAAC
rnacentral:rRNA from 1 species